AACGAACGCUGGCGGCAGGCCUAACACAUGCAAGUCGAGCGAGCACUUCGGUCCUAGCGGCGUCUGGCUGAGUCACGCGUGGGAACGUGCCCUUUUCUAUGGAAUAGCUCUGGGACUCUGGGAGUAUUACCGGACGAGCCCUUUGGGGGAAAGAUUUAUCGGGGAAGGUUCGUCCAGAGUUGGAUAAGGUAGUUCGUUGGGUUAUAGCCUACUAGGCCGAGGAUUCAUAGCUGGUUAGAGAGGAUGCUUAGCCACACUAGGACUAAGACGCGGCCCGGACUCCUACGGGAGGCAGCAGUGCGGGAUGGUAGACAAUGGGGGAAGCCCUGAUCGAGCCAUGCCGCGUGAGCGAUGAAGUCCGUAAGGUUGUAAAGCGCUAGCAGCUAGGAAGAUAAUGACGGUACCAGCAGAAGAAGCCCCGGCUAACUCCGUG
rnacentral:rRNA from 1 species